GACAGAGGCCAAGCAGAAGAUGAGGUAGAAGACUUCAGCGAAGCCGAACAAUGGCACACAAGUCCAGAACACCUUCCUCCACUGUGUCAGUGUUUGCUGCCGAGACACAAAUGGGAUGUCCUCUGACUAACAUAUAGUUUCCUGCCACUCACAGAGAAACAAAUCUUACUGGUCGUAACUCCAUCUAGCGCGAAGCCCUGGGUUACACUUCCCCCACUUAAGCCUACCCUCCUUCAGUGCGGCUCUGCCAAGUCAUAUAAAAAGCGAAGGGGGUAGCACAGUCACCCCCCUGCUCGUGGGUCGCGCAGCAAGAGCAGUCCUCAUAGUGCAGGCAGCUCUCGUGGGCUGUUCACGUACAGCCAGGACACACCAGUAAGGGGCGUGAGGGACAUACAACAAUGGAAAGACUUAAUGAGUGUAUGGUAGCCACAACGGGUGAGUAUUAUUAAGGCGUUA